UACAGAGGUGGCAAGCGUUGUUCGGAAUUACUGGGCGUAAAGGGCGCGUAGGCGGUCUUUCAAGUCCCGUGUGAAAUCCCUCGGCUCAACUGAGGAACUGCACGGGAAACUGUCUGGCUUGAGUUCGGGAGAGGGAAGCGGAAUUCCGGGUGUAGCGGUGAAAUGCGUAGAUAUCCGGAGGAACACCAGUGGCGAAGGCGGCUCACUGGCCCGGUACUGACGCUGAGGUGCGAAAGCGUGGGGAGCAAACAGG
rnacentral:rRNA from 1 species